rnacentral:rRNA from 1 species
UGGGGAAUUUUUGGACAAUGGGCGAAAGCCUGAUGCAGCAACGCCGCGUGAGUGAUGAAGGCCUUCGGGUUGUAAAGCUCUGUCUUUUGGGACGAUAAUGACGGUACCAAAGGAGGAAGCCACGGCUAACUACGUGCCAGCAGCCGCGGUAAUACGUAGGUGGCAAGCGUUGUCCGGAAUUAUUGGGCGUAAAGAGCGCGUAGGCGGGAUAGUCAGUCUGUUGUAAAAGUGCGGGGCUCAACCCCGUGAUCGCAAUGGAAACAGCUAUUCUUGAGUGCAGGAGAGGAAAGUGGAAUUCCCAGUGUAGCGGUGAAAUGCGUAGAAUAUUGGGAGGAACACCAGUGGCGAAGGCGACUUUCUGGACUGUGUCUGACGCUGAGGCGCGAAAGCCAGGGGAGCGAACGGGAUUAGAUACCCCGGUACGUCCUGGCCGUAAACGAUGGGUACUAGGUGUGGGGGGUAUCGACCCCUUCCGUCCGGAGUUAACGCAAUAAGUACCCCCGCCUGGGGGAGUANGGUCGCAAGACUGAAACUCAAAUGAAUUGACGGGGUCAU